rnacentral:lncRNA from 1 species
AGAGAGAAGUAAAAACCCUGAAGGAUGGUUCUCAAAAAUUCUAAAGGAACCACAGGGAAUUCCUUUUAAGAGCAACAGAAAGCAAGCCUAGCUGAGACUCCUCACUGCGGUCAGAGCCUGCAGCCUCUCCCUACUCCCACUGGUCCUUGGCCAGCAGCUCCUGACACCCAGAGGAUUCAGCUUGGGGUAUGUGUUCACUCGAGCCAGUGCUUAUUCCAAGCAUUGAGCUUGCUCUUCGCUGAACUUACUCUUCUGUUGCCAGUAAAAAUGUAGCCACUCAGUCCUGGGUGUGUUUGUAACAGCAUGGGAAAGCAAGAGUUUUAGAUACUGGAUAUUUUUUGUGAUGAAGAGCAUGGAGGCAGCCUCUCUUCAUUUGCCUAGGAACUGAACUCAGAACCUUUGUACUCCAUGACAUUAUUCUGACAUGAAAGGCACAAGGUCUGGAUGUGGGAUUGUCGAUCACAGAAAUUUCUGUGCAAUAUGUUAACUCUGUUUAAAUG